CCAAUAGCGUAUAUUAAAGUUGUUGCAGUUAAAAAGCUCGUAGUUGAAUUUCGGGAUCAAUACGUCUGUCGUGCCUUUGGUACGUACGGGUGUAAUUGGUUUCUACCUUCUGAGGAUCCUUGAUGUCAUUAAUUUGGUGUCUUGGGGAAUCAGGACUGUUACCUUGAAAAAAUUAGAGUGUUUAAAGCAGGCAUACGCUUGAAUACAUUAGCAUGGAAUAAUGAAAUAGGACGUUCGAUUCUAUUUUGUUGGUUUCUAGGAUCGACGUAAUGAUUAAUAGGGAUAGUUGGGGGCAUUAGUAUUCAAUUGUCAGAGGUGAAAUUCUUGGAUUUAUUGAAGACUAACUACUGCGAAAGCAUUUGCCAAGGAUGUUUUCAUUAAUCAAGAACGAAAGUUAGGGGAUCGAAGACGAUCAGAUACCGUCGUAGUCUUAACCAUAAACUAUGCCGACUAGGGAUCGGAUGAUGUUAAUUUUUUAAUGACUCAUUCGGCGCCUUACG
rnacentral:rRNA from 1 species